GGGGGGGGGGUCUGUCCAGAGCGUCCACAGUGGUUGGCGACAGAACCGAAGAAUGAAGACUGGAAUACAUUAAAUAUCUGGGUGUAAUUUAAAAAUAAAGUACUAGACCAAAUGCUAAUGGAUCUAAAUUCUUUGUAACCUAACGUUGAAACAUUUCUGAAAAUUAGCUGCUAAAAUCCUUAAUCCGUUUAGUGAAAUGCUUCUAGACCUGAAAUUGAGACGUAGUCUAUAAGAGCGGAGCGAACUACAACAAUGUGGUAGCCUCCACAAUUAAAUACAAGUACCCGGCGGAGCAUAGGCCUAAAUAUUCAAGAUUUGCUAGCAUUUCACAGGCUACCAAAUGAAAUGGAUACAGCAAAACGUAAAGCUGGCUACUAGUUGGUUAAAGACCAGUUUAUAGUUCAGCGAUGUAUGAUCAGACGAUGAAUAUCGCUACAGUGUCCCCAAAAAUCCAUUAUCGCUCGACAUUUGAACGCUGUUGCUUAAAAAAAAAGUACAGGAAGGUAGCUAUUUAUGCCAAUAUCUGUCGCCUAUAUGUCCAGCCGACAUUACGUUUAUUUUAAAGUUGGCCUACAUUUGCCUACAUUUAAGUCGACCGUUUUAUGAAAACUGAAUUGGCCCAUUUAUUAGCAGGAAAUAGCCUACCUAAAGUAUUUAGGCUACUGAAACUACCCUAUAGGCUACCAUUUAGGCUACAUUUUGUAUCAUAAACUGGUGAACAGCACUCAUCAGACAAAUUCGCACCUUUUUUGUCUCCUGCUGUAAUUAUCUUUGAAAAUUACACCCACGAGCAAAAUAAAGAUAUGCCUACUCACCCUAGCGUCUACCUACUGAUUUGUCUGUGAACCGUACUGAAGGCUAUGACCAUAAAAAUGGUCACUUUCUUUUGGAUUGUUGUAGCUGUAGGCGACAUAUUGUUAUGCGCAUGAAAAAAUAAAGUGAGACCUGUUCCUGGGGUGACAUGGCUCAGGCAGUAAGAGCAGUCGUCUGGCAGUCUGAGGGUUGCCGGUUCGAUCCCCCGCCCGGGCUGUGUCGAAGUGUCCCUGAGCAAGACACCUAACCCCCAAAUGCUCCUGACGAGCUGGUCGGGGCCUUGCAUAUGGCAGCCAAUCGCCGUCGGUGUGUGAGUGUGUGUAUGAAUGGGUGAAUGGAGAAGCAUCAAUUGUACAGCGCUAUAUAAAUGCCUGCCAUUUACCAUUUUCCAGAAUUUUUUACAUUUGCGGCCAACAGUGCCAUCUUGCUGUCACAACACCAAUUUUCGCCUUAACUGUGAAACGGAAUUUUCAGGGAUUUCCAGAGGGGCGGGUCUAUUUCGGUAGCAGACUUCGCUAAUUAAAGUAAGUCAUUCAGACAAGGAAGGUGAUAGGUAACAGUCGUAACUUCUAGGAUGGCACCGUUCCACGCUUAUCAGGGAAGCAGUCUGCAGCCAGAAAAUGAAAUGGAAUGGAGUGAUGAAGUCCUCCUCUUUGCUGCUGCUUUGCUUCUAAUCCUAAUGUUCGGCCUCUUGCUUAUACUGCAUUCCAACUGGGAAACCCUCAUGGAAGUCCUCCAAGGAAGAGAUGCACCAGAGCCCCACCUGUCAGUGGAGGAAACCAACCCUCUCCUUGGUCCAUACAUACCCACUUACGAUUAAGGAUCAGCUCGGAUUUGACAAUCCGAUACCAAAUACCCCCUCAGGACAAAUGAUGCAUUCUGAGUACUGUCUGUUUUCUCAGAAAAGGGCUCUAUGGCAUGAAGUGAACUGACCAGCAAUGACUACAGGAGUGGGUACAAUCCUCUGGCUGGAGCAUCAUGCUUGUUCUUCAAGGUUCCUGGGGUGCAGCUUGAGGUUCCCAGCACACAGCUCGAGAUUCACACCCUGUACCUCAUUGAACGUCAUUGCUUCGGGAAAACGGAGGCCCAUGGAAAACUCAAGACGUUUCUUAGCUGGCAUGUGAAGUGACCAAUCACGUUGGACUGACAAAGACCUCAUCCCUGUUGUUUACUUUGUUUUCUUGUGCAAUAUCCGUAAGAACACUGCAUUUAAAUUAAAUCUCUUUAUUUCUGUAGAA